rnacentral:rRNA from 1 species
GACGAACGCUGGCGGCGUGCUUAACACAUGCAAGUCGAACGAAAAGAGGGAAAGAGCUUGCUCUUUCCGGAAUUGAGUGGCAAACGGGUGAGUAACACGUAAACAACCUGCCUUCAGGAUGGGGACAACAGACGGAAACGACUGCUAAUACCGAAUAAGUUCCAAGAGCCGCAUGGCCCAUGGAAGAAAAGGUGGCCUCUACCUGUAAGCUAUCGCCUGAAGAGGGGUUUGCGUCUGAUUAGCUGGUUGGAGGGGUAACGGCCCACCAAGGCGACGAUCAGUAGGCGGUCUGAGAGGAUGAACGGCCAAACUGGAACUGAGACACGGGCCAGACUCCUACGGGAGGCAGCAGUGGGGAAUCUUCCGCAAUGGGCGAAAGCCUGACGGAGCAACGCCGCGUGAGUGAUGACGGCCUUCGGGUUGUAAAACUCUGUGAUCCGGGACGAAAAGGCAGAGUGCGAAGAACAAACUGCAUUGACGGUACCGGAAAAGCAAGCCACGGCUAACUACGUG